rnacentral:rRNA from 1 species
ACUCCUACGGGAGGCAGCAGUGGGGAAUAUUGCACAAUGGGGGAAACCCUGAUGCAGCCAUGCCGCGUGUGUGAAGAAGGCCUUCGGGUUGUAAAGCACUUUCAGUAGGGAGGAAGGUAGUNUAGUUAACAACCUGCAUUAUUUGACGUUUACCUACAGAAGAAGCACCGGCUAACUCCGUGCCAGCAGCCGCGGUAAUACGGAGGGUGCGAGCGUUAAUCGGAAUUACUGGGCGUAAAGCGCAUGCAGGCGGCCUGUUAAGUCAGAUGUGAAAGCCCGGGGCUUAACCUCGGAAUUGCAUUUGAAACUGGCAGGCUAGAGUCUUGUAGAGGGGGGUAGAAUUUCAGGUGUAGCGGUGAAAUGCGUAGAGAUCUGAAGGAAUACCAGUGGCGAAGGCGGCCCCCUGGACAAAGACUGACGCUCAGAUGCGAAAGCGUGGGGAGCAAACAGGAUUAGAUACCCUGGUAGGCUCU